rnacentral:lncRNA from 1 species
AGAAGAACAUGAAGCCAGUGGACAGCGCAGCCUUCAUCAGGCUGGGGGUCAGGCCCUUGAAGAAGCCCCGGGUGCCUUCUUCCUGUAGUACCUGCUGGAUGAGGUCCAGGAGGCCCCUGUAGCUCCGCACCUGGGGAGAGGAAGGUGGAGACUGAAAAGGAAGCAGGGACCUAAACCACGGCUGCCCACCCCCAUAACUGCUUGCGGGGUGAAGGAGGCCCUGGAGGAAGGGGCUCCUCACUCUUUCUAAUGCAUGCUGUUAACUGGGGAAGGGCCUGGGGUCAGCAGCUGGAGAGCGAGAGCUCCUUCCUGAUGUAGAACUCUCGGCUACUUCUCCAGCACCACGUCUGCCUACGCGCCACCAUGCUUCCCACUAUGGUGACAGUGGACGAAACCUCUGAACUGUAAGCCACCCCCAAUUAAAUGUUUUCCUUUAUAAUGUUGCUGUGAGGCCCAGCACUCGCCUUUAAUCACCACCCCCUACACACACACACACACACACUGGGGAGGUGGAGGAAGGUGGAUCUGAGUUCUAGGACAACCAGGGCUAGCUACAUGGAGAACUCAUGACUUGAAAAGCAAAACAAAAAGUUGCUAUGCUCAUGGCGUCAACUUCAACUAAGACACCCCCAAAACCAAAGAAACAAAGAAAACACCUAAGAAGGGAAGCCUUUGAAAAGGCCGUCAAAUUAGCCCACAGCUGGAGCCAGCACAGCGACCAGGAGGUCAGGACACUGGUUCCCCGCCUUGCCUUCUCUCAUUCACCCUGGAACUCUUCCAGUAGGUUCCCCUGGGAGACUCAGUCGGGUUAAACCAGGGCAGAGGACUAAGUCACUAAGUCUUCUUAGGGGUGACUGGGCUGCCCAGUCCUUCAUGGUCUCAAGUUUCCCUCAGUCUAAGAGACAGCAAAGAUGCAGGCCUCCUGGCUCGUUGUCCACAGAUGCCAAGAAGCUAGCGAGUCUGCCUGCAAACCCAGCCGGAAACUGCACCAUUCAAACCAAACACAAGGUGGGAGAGGCUGUUGUGUCCGGAUUUCUAGAAAUGAGCACUUCUGCAUUGCUGGAGACGGGUCCAGAAGACUGGGUUUUGACUCUUAGGGAGACUGAGGCAGAAGAACCACAGUGUGAGGGCCAGCCUGGACUACACAGCUCGACUCAGUCUUAAAGGCUAAAAGGAAAACUGUGACUCACACCUGUAACGUAGCACCCAGGAGGCAAGGGCAAGAGGACUGGGAGCCAGCCUGGGCUAUAUAAGACCUCAAGACAUUUAGAAAUUCAGACAAAAGGCAAAAUGCUAGGCAAACAUGUACAAGACCCUGGGUCCUGCUCCCAAGCACGAAAAGGGGUCAUGGUAGAGCUCAGGGUAGAGUCCCUGCUUUUAUACACAAAGCCCUGAGUUUAUAAACCCAUUGUUACAAAUAAAUAAAUAAAU